UCGCCUGUUUUUCAAAAACAUCGCUGAUUAAAAAAAUCAGUAAUACCUGCCCAGUGAAUUUAAACGGCCGCAGUACCUUGACUGUGCUAAGGUAGCAUAAUCAUUUGUCUCUUAAUUGGAGACUCGUAUGAAUGAUUCGACGAAAAAUUUACUUUUUCAACUGCGCUAAAAACUUACUUCAAAGGUUAAAAAGCCUUUAGACCUAAGAGGACGACAAGACCCUGUAAAACUUUACCUUUAACGAGAUCUAAUCCUUAGAAAAUUACUUCUCUCCUUAGGGUUUAGCUGGGGCGGCUCAUUCAAUAACAACAUAAUUCAAUCUUACAUAUUUAAUGACCUUUUUAAACGCCUUCCAAUUAAGAACAAGUUACUUCAGGGAUAACAGCAUAAUACCUCUUCAGAGUCCUUAUCGUCAGAGGUGCGUAUGACCUCGAUGUUGAAUUGAAAACUCUCUACGGAGCAGCUCCUGUAGAAGAAAGUCUGUUCGACUUUAAAUUUUUCACAUGAUCUGAGUUCCAAACCGGA
rnacentral:rRNA from 1 species